GGCCUAAUGGCCCAAUGGCAAGGCGCUUGACUACGAUUGAUCAAUCCGAAAUCAAGAGAUUCCAGGUUCGACCCCUGGUUAGGUCA